UACGUAGGGACCGAGCGUUGUCCGGAAUUAUUGGGCGUAAAGAGCUCGUAGGCGGUCUGUCGCGUCUGGUGUGAAAACUCGGGGCUUAACUCCGGGCCUGCAUCGGGUACGGGCAGACUAGAGUGCGGUAGGGGAGACUGGAAUUCCUGGUGUAGCGGUGAAAUGCGCAGAUAUCAGGAGGAACACCGGUGGCGAAGGCGGGUCUCUGGGCCGUAACUGACGCUGAGGAGCGAAAGCAUGGGGAGCGAACAGG
rnacentral:rRNA from 1 species